rnacentral:rRNA from 1 species
AGUGAACGCUGGCGGUAGGCCUAACACAUGCAAGUCGAACGGCAGCACAGUAAGAGCUUGCUCUUACGGGUGGCGAGUGGCGGACGGGUGAGGAAUACAUCGGAAUCUACUUUUUCGUGGGGGAUAACGUAGGGAAACUUACGCUACUACCGCAUACGACCUACGGGUGAAAGCAGGGGAUCUUCGGACCUUGCGCGAUUGAAUGAGCCGAUGUCGGAUUAGCUAGUUUGCUGGGUAAAGGCCCACCAAGGCGACGAUCCGUAGCCGGUCUGAGAGGAUGAUCGGCCACACUGGAACUGAGACACGGUCCAGACUCCUACGGGAGGCAGCAGUGGGGAAUAUUGGACAAUGGGCGCAAGCCUGAUCCAGCCAUACCGCGUGGGUGAAGAAGGCCUUCGGGUUGUAAAGCCCUUUUGUUGGGAAAGAAAAGCAGCAGGUUAAUACCCCGCUGUUCUGACGGUACCCAAAGAAUAAGCACCGGCUAACUUCGUG